UGCAUUUAUUUUAAUGGGUAUAUUUAUUUAAGCUAGUUGCAGCAAAGUUUACAUAUAACUUGUUUAUAUACUUUUAUGAUUGACUAUUUUAGACACGUGGCAUGCAAUAUCACUCUGCAAGUUAUAAAAUCAGUUGCAUCAGUUGUAUAAUAAAUCAAUUGCAUUAGUUGUUUAAUAAAUCAGUUGCAAAAUGUUUACUUGCACUUUUUUUUCAUGGACACGUGUCAUGCUGUAUCAAACUAACUUGCUACUUUAGACAUAUGGCAUUCAGGCAUAAGGUAUCAAAUUUAAAUUCUAAUAUUAUUACCAGUAACGUGUUUAUUCUUGUUAUAUAAAAAGGGUAGUUACUUUUUUUUAAAUUUAAAUUCUAAUAUUAAU